rnacentral:tRNA from 1 species
GUGGGAGUAGCUCAACUGGUUAGAGCGCCAGAUUGUGGUUCUGGAUGUUGGGGGUUCAAGUCCCCUCUCUCACC